rnacentral:rRNA from 1 species
CCUACGGGGGGCAGCAGUGGGGAAUAUUGGACAAUGGGCGAAAGCCUGAUCCAGCCAUGCCGCGUGUGUGAAGAAGGUCUUCGGAUUGUAAAGCACUUUAAGUUGGGAGGAAGGGCAGUUACCUAAUACGUAAUUGUUUUGACGUUACCGACAGAAUAAGCACCGGCUAACUCUGUGCCAGCAGCCGCGGUAG